AAUUAUGAAAACUUCGUUAACUCUCUAAUUUGUACAACUCAAAAAGCAUACCGAUAAGAUGAGUAGUUGAGCAUUACCUCUAUUAAAAAGGGCAAUGCUCUCUUAUCUCCUCUUAAAUUUGAUGAUAGGAUACAAUGCACGAGUUUUAUGUAGAUUUAGACUAAAAGGUUGAAGUUGAAAGCAAUAAACCAAGAGGUAUAAUGUGAGUGCCUAUUAACGUUUAAUGCCUAAUUUAAUAAUCAAGGAAGUCCAUUUUUUUUUUUUUUAAAUAGAAUUUCAACUGAAUUAUAGGACCUAUUUGUAAACUAUUAGAAUAUCUAUCGAAAUCACGUAAAAAUAUCGUGUGUAAGAUAAGAAUUGUUCAAUAAUUUGAGAAAACAUUUUUAAUCAGACUUCAAUUUAUUAUUGUAUACUUUACUUACCUUGUACCUACCUGAGGAGUUCUUCGCUGUUCCAAGUAUAUCGUAGUCAAUCGUCAAUCGUAUAAUUUAUUUGUGUGGAAUUAAAUCUGUGUAAGAAGAUCGGAUAUCUAACCAGAAAGGACAAAUAUUUGAUAUUGCAGCUUGAUCUUCGAAUUAUUCGUUUUGCAGUCAAAGCUUCAACAUGAACUUCAAACUAUUAAUAUUUGCAACCGGAGUCGUGUUACUUUUUGGUUUUUCUCAAAUAAGCCUGGCUUAUGCAGAACCUUCAGUAUAUGGACCGACAUACGAAACUUUGGAAGGAUGUAAUGGAGAUUGUCCUUCUUAUUGCGAGAAUAGAGGGCAGCAUCAUAAUUCUUGCAUCCAGAUCGGAAAAGGCAAUUUUAUAUGUGUUUGUGCCGAGAUGCCAGCACCGACUUAUUAAUUUUGCAGAGCGGUUGGUGAGUCAAAUUAGUAUCAAGAUGGAUGAUGAUUUUUUUCUUUCUUAAAUGAUCAUUUUUGAAAUAAUUUUUUAAUAAAUUAUUUUUAAUUUUGUCUCGUUUUCAUCUCUUUUUUUUUUUAUUUGUAAUUACUAAUAGGUAUAUAUUUUAUAAAAUUAUUCGAAAAAUUGUAAAAAAAAAAUUCAAAAAGUUGUGGGUUUAAAUUCCUUUGAUUAAGUUGGGAUUUUUAUUUUUCAGAAGGUACAAGUGAAAGUACCUAUUAAUCUUAUCAGUAGGGCUAGGAUUUUUAUGAUAAUGCUUUUUUUUUUGUAGCAACACCUUAUACGGCAUAAAUAUAUUUUCUUUGCGUUUCA